CUUUCAAUAUCAGAGAUGAAAAAUGGUUCAACAAGAAGAUAACAUAGGAUGAAGUAUUGUGAAAGUUCAAAAAACUUGUCCUGUAGCUGGUCUGUUUUUAAUCAGCAUUUCAUUGAUUGCAAUGAUGUGCUAAUCAUACUUCUAACAAAGUUUCCUGUCCAGGCCUAGAGUCAUAAAGCCUAGUGCAUAAUCCUUGUCAAGGUUCAGCCAGAAGUUGAAAUUAAGGCAGCAGCAAAAACAACAUAAAUCAAGCCUAGUUGUUAUCUAUUUUUUCGGUUUUCUUAGUAGCUACAAAUGCUAGCUAGUAAACUCUAAAAUUUUGGAUCAGUGUCACUAAAUCAAAAUCCACCAGCUUUUGACACCUACAUGUUUAUCAUGGACUUAAGCAGGAUAAUUGAUUAGGAGGGACCAUCAAAAGCAUUCGGUGACCAGAAAAUACCUAAUAGAUUAAUGUGAACUUUCAUAUCAGGGUUUUAAAUGAGCUGCCUUGAACUGCAUAAGGCAGCAUGCAUUGUAUCGACAAGAAAAUGACACCAUGAUGUAGGACAAGAUUCUUGGUUUUUUUCUCUCGGAACCAACAAAAUCAUUCGACUAGCAACUGUUGAGUGGUGAAACAACAUACUUGUUUUUGUCAAGUUGGCAAGCUUUUGCAAAAGAAAUUCUUCCCCUGGCAAUAUGAGACCAUCCCUUUACAUUAGUCUCUUGACCAAAAAGAAAACAGCACUUACAUAAGUUCCUCAAUUGUCAUGGAGUAUUAACAGAUAUAUCACAAAUAUUUAUAAGCCUUGGGGCAACCGACAAAAGCCCUCCUGUUUUUGCUCCUGCUAGUCCCUCUCUACCAGGUCCAGCAUUCUAUCUGGAGGUUCAUUAGCUUGCAAAUAGCACAUCCAGCAGCUGCCAAUAUUUCCUUGUGUCUUUCUUAUGAUGUCUCCUGAGUAUGCAUUGUCCUUGCCAGUCGAGACCAGGCUGUUAAACUUGGGAUCUGGGCUGUAGGAUCGUGUGAUCUUACAAUCCAGAUCAGGCCUGGCAAGUCAGGCCAGUCGCUGAAGUAAACAAAUGGUGGAACCAGCCCAGCCCGACUCGUGAGUUGGCUCAGGACAAUCGGUCGACUCAGAUGAGUCAAACUCGAGUUUACUAACUCAACUCAGUUGGCUUUAUAUAAAAGGGGGAAAAAAACUCCCCGCAACGCCGAGGACUCUUCUCCCGCGCGAAGAAGUCACCGACAAACGAGGGAGAGCAGUGCCGAUCUCCAAGUUCUCUUUUUUGCCCUAUUCUUUCUUCCCC
rnacentral:lncRNA from 1 species